UACGGACGCCAAAGUGUCCCUGGCCGCCUACACCCACUAUACAUCCACAAACCCGUGUGCACUGUCUUGGAGAAAGGCUUCAGAGAAGUUUUUUGUGGCCUCUCUUGGGGUCUUUCUUCGCUACAAACUCGAAUGGUUAGUAUGAACGUGGAACUUGGUUGGACCGUCACUGGCCAACAAACUAUACACAACUUUCGACAACGGAUCUCUUGGUUCUCGCAUCGAUGAAGAACGCAGCAAAGGAUCAUUAGUGAGGAUUUGGGCAGGCCUACGGACGCACAAAGUGUCCUGGCCGCCACCCCCUAUUCUCCACCUCCGGGCGCGCGGGGG
rnacentral:misc_RNA from 1 species